CAAUUAAUAGUUUAAAUAAAAUAAUAAUUUUGGAGAUUAUAGUUGUAAUGUAUAUAUUAUUUAAUUGA
rnacentral:tRNA from 1 species